UUGGUUGGCCCCUUCUGGUAACACGAACAUCUAGUUAGACGUGCAGAUUUGAAUACACAGUUAGAGUUCUUAACGGGAAUCUACUGUGAGACGCUGGAAAUGCUGUGAGGGAUAACAAGAUGGCAUAUGCAUUUUCUGGCUUAAUUUACAGUGGCAGUUUCAAGAACCCUGUACCAUUGAGCACUUCUAUAUGUUUGUAAUGAUGAAAAUGCAGGGCGCUGGUGUGGCGACACUCUCGAUGCUUGGCUACCAACUGUGGCACAUGGCUCAAACUAUCAAAACAGGAACAAGAGCUGCAAGGCUUCCAGUAUCUCUUAACUACUGCCCUGGAAAUCAAAGUAGCGCAUUUUCACCACUUAACUAUACCUCUACAAUGCCAAACCUUGAAUCAGAAGAAAUUUUCUUCAUCUUUCGCUUGUCACACUUCUGGAGCAGUUUCUUCGCUUUCAUCGGAACUAUCGUGAUUGCCGUAUUUACAAGUGUGGUUACAGGCGAAAUUAAGCAUAAAAAGGACAAAAAACUAUCCAAUGACGCCUUAGUGCGAAUUUGGCAGAAGAUCAGGAGCUAUGCUUCAAAAGAGGAACCUCAUAUUACAGAAUAUAGCUGCGAAGAAAAUUGCGUGCCUAAACCAGAAGGCGAAAGCCUCGUGAUGCAUGACCGGCCAGCUUGCACAAAUAAGCAAUUGCCGGCAAACUCACAGAAUUCUAUAUUACUUGCUGUAUAGAAGCGCAAAUAAAGGU